AAUUGAAGGACCUUAGAAAAAAAAACUACGCUUAUAAAGCAUAAGCCCUGCCGGUUGAAAUAUAUAUAUUUAUCUAAGAUGUAAUAAUACUUUUUGAAAAGCAGAAAUAGAAAGGAAAAGCAAUUGAAUGUAAGAGAAAUAUUAAACAAAUUAUUAGUUUUCAUUGGACAACUGCAAGAGCUCUGUGAGGACGACAAAAGGUUGGUCUAUAUUUCUCAGAAGGACAUUCUUUUAAAAUAUGACCUCGUACCUUGUUAUGCCCAAUGUUUUGUAAGUUCGGGUAAAAAGAAGUUGUUAGUGAGCUGCAACAAAAGACAUUAUUUUUUGGCAGAUAAAUCUGAAAAAAAUGUUAACAAGUGAUGUCUUGAAAAUGCAGACACUCUAUAAUCAGAGCUUUUAGGCUUUGGUGUAGUUCAUUUUUCACCGGUGUAUCCGACCAGUUAUAGAAUCAAUGAAAUGUAUAUUUUGACUUGCUCAUCUUCUGCCAACACUGUGUAUUAUCUGUUAAGCAUCUCAGAAGGAGAAAUUGCCACAAACUAUUAAACUUACACAUACAAUUUAGUCAUUAUCCAUGCUGUACUCUCUUUUAUCAAACACAAUGCUUCAGUUGUGAGUUUCAUGUAUUUCUGUUUUUGGCUUAAUCAAGAUGGAUGGAGAUUUGUCUUUUAGUUGUGUUAUGUUAUUGUAGUAAAUUUGCAGCUUACAUCAUUAUCAAAUUCUGUUUUACCUACAUUUCUUUGAAUACAGACAUCCCGAGAGCUUUUGGUCAUGAACUCAUCAGAGUAAAAAUGCAAGAAUUAAACAGAUUUCAAUUUCUGUUUAUUUUUUGUGCUUUAGACUGAUGAGUGCAAGACACACGAUUACAAUUUCAUGCUUAAAUUAGGGCGUGUACCAUUCGAAAUUAACAAAUUUCCGCAUAUUUUCUCCUUGUAUUCGAUGGUGAUGCCCCGAGCAACUUAUUUUAUUGAUAUAUAUUGGGAUUAGGUUUACCUUCGCUACUGGCCAGUCAGAGCCCCUUUUUUCAAACCAAAGCAGAUAUCCUUUUUUUUAUGAAAGCAAAUAAUUAAUGUAAAGUACCAUUUCUACAAUGUGCAAUUGUGUUUCAUUAAAAAAAAGGAAAGUGGGAAAUUUAACCAAGAAGGGUAGACAGAAGCAAAUCCAUGACUCAUAAAUUCUUCAAAUUACAUUAUGGAUUAAGCAUGGCAACUUUGUUAAAAUUCACUCAACAAGCGGUCAUACACAAAACCAUGCCAAAAGCUUUGUGAAUCUAAUAGUUAUAUAUCGUGCAAGAGUCUGGUGAAUGAAAAAUACUAUGUAAUACGAUCAUUGUGAAAUGAGACGAUUUUAUUAAUUUACAACCUGUUAAGAGAUUGGUUUUAAAAAAGUUGGGAUUUCCCAAAAAGUGUUGUUUUUUAUUAUAAUUUAACCAAUUAUUGGUCUAGUGGCUGCAAUCUUUCACAUUCCAUUAAAUAUUUUAUCUGUAUUGUUUACACCAAAUCUUGUCCAUUUUAUUGAAGAAAUUGUCUGAAUAUCAACAUAUUGUACAAGAAAGCGACCUGGAUUCAGCAUUAUUGUUAUUUUAUUUAUUGUGAAAUUAGAUGUUUUGUGUUGAUGUUAAAAUUCAAAAUGCAUAUUCUCUAAAGGUUUUAAUGAUGGGGGAGGGAUGCCAAUUUAUAGUUUGAAGUAACACCAUACAAUAGACUGAAAAGUAUGUUGAUUUAUUCUUUAGGGGGAAAAGCCUAAUUCUCGUAGUGAAGGUGAUAGAAAGAGAGAGAAGCAGAACUAAUGAUGAGCUUUAAUUAACCUAAACACACACUAUUUAAGUUUAUAAUGCAUUUCUUCACUAAUAUUAGAGAGAUUGAUUUUCAUGAAACUCCUGUGAAUAUUUACAUAACCAAGAGUAGGCCUAUGGAUUGGAAAGAAUCUUUUAUAUAGAGAUAUAAAGUAAUAAACUGCAACAAUUUUUUUUUAUUAAGAAUUUGUGAAUGAAUGGCAAUUAAGUGCACGCAAAAAGGGUCCUACACGUAUUCACUGAGAUCUAUGUUACUAUAUACCACACAAAAAUAUAAAGUGUAGUAUACUUAUGUCAUCAUUUUUAAAAAACAUACACCACGUGACCACGGCUUAUUUCAUUGAAACAUAGGUGUGUUGUUAUUCAAUAUAUAGUGUGUUGAGAAACUGAAGAGAAUAAAUUUUGUAUUACAAUACUAGAUGAUAAAGUCCUUUUGGUAAUCAACAGACAAUAUAUGUGAGUAACAUGAUACAAUUGCAUUAGUAAUCACCGAAGGCGAAAAAUAAUGUAUAAACAUACAAAUCGUGUACUUUGAUAUCUUGUUUUAAAUUUAUAGAGAUUUUUUUUUUUUACAUGUAUAAAGGAAAACUCACAGUUGCUUGUGAAGGUAUAUGAAUGAUGACAGUGACAAUAGUCGGUUGCUUGUUCCUUCAUCACAAACAAUUGCUAUGAAAGAAGUUGCUUUUCGCUUCCCUCUUUAACAUAAGUCAACACAAUAUUGAUCUGUACUUUCUCCUAUAAUUUUCUCUAAAUAAAUAUGCCGUCAAUUAAAAAAAAAUAUAAAUGAAUGUUUUAUGCGUUAACAUGAUUGCAGAGAUUUUCGAAAACAAAUGAGGACAUACGGUAAUUUCAAUAUCCCCGUCAACCACCAAUUGCACCACCAGCAUUCCACCAGAAACUUGUGUUAAUAAGGUAUUACAGAAAUGUAAUACCUUAUUGACACAAGUCUCUGGUAUCAAUAAGGUAUUGCAGAAACGUGAUACCUUAUUGACACAAGUCUCUGGUGUAAAUAAGGUAUUACAGAAACAUAAUACCUUAUUGACACAAGUCUCUGGUAUAAAUAAGGUAUUGCAGAAACGUGAUACCUUAUUGACACAAGUCUCUGGUGUAAAUAAGGUAUUGCAGAAACGCAAUACCUUAUUGACACAAAUCUCUAGUAUCAAUAAGGUAUUGCAGAAACGUAAUUCCUUAUUGACACAAGUCUCUGGUGUAAAUAAGGUAUUGCAGAAACAUAAUACCUUAUUGACACAAGUCUCUGGUAUCAAUAAGGUAUUGCAGAAACGUAAUACCUUAUUGACACAAGUCUCUGGUAUCAAUAAGGUAUUGCAGAAACGUAAUUCAGGAAGGUUUCUAUGGGAUAUACAAUAGGGUUUUGAAAUUACCCCCGUGUUAAUUUCUUGAACGUCUUAGCGAUCGUGCUCAUUAUUGAAUCAUAAUUAGAUUCAAGUGUCAAAAGGGACUUUUAGAUUUGCACGAUGAGAACGUGGACUGCUACAUGUUACAUCUUUAAGGCACUGCCGGGCACCGUCAGUGCCUUAAAAGGACGUCACAUUGCCUUAAAAGGAUGUCACAUGUAGCAAUCCACGUUCUCGUCGUGCAAAUCUAAAGUCCUUAAUAUAACACGAUCGCAACCACUUUCGCAAAAUCAACCGAAUCAAUUCCAAUGGCCUUAAACGUCACCUAUCAAAAUGUACGAACGUAAUACCGUGACGCAUUACGUAACCGAACAUGAUUUCUAUGGGACUUUGAAAUUAAAAUCGCCCAUGUGUUGACUUUUCAGAAGUAGUGGUGAUCGCAUUCCACGAACAUUACCAAGAAGUAUUAUGUUAUCCGAACGUGAUAGCUAUGAAAUUGAAAAAGCCCUUGAGUUGAUUUUUCGCAAGUCAUUAAUUGCUAUCGUGUCAUAUAUCAAUUUAAACCUCAAUUCUUAUAACUAUUGCUACGACUAGUAAACGCUGUAUCCGAUUUAUAUGCAUUCCAUUGACCUGUAUUAGCAAGUUCUGGUGACCAUAUAUAGUUUCAAAGUAGGACUUAGAGUGUAUACCAGAAUAUUUAUUUUUGUGUCAUGUACGGAUACAAGAAAAAAGUGGCAAGAUCAAUAAAAUAGAAAGAGAGAAGUUUUAA